UCCGCCCUAGUGUAAUGGCAGCACGCGGGUUUUUGGUACCUACAGUCCGGGUUCGAAUCCUGGGGGCGGAGCUA
rnacentral:tRNA from 5 species